GACAGAGGUCCCGAGCGUUGUUCGGAUUCACUGGGCUUAAAGGGCGCGUAGGCGGGCGGGCAAGUCAGGGGUGAAAUCCCACGGCUCAACCGUGGAAGGGCCCUUGAUACUGCCCAUCUCGAGGGAGGUAGGGGCGUGCGGAACUUCCGGUGGAGCGGUGAAAUGCGUAGAUAUCGGAAGGAACACCGGUGGCGAAAGCGGCGCGCUGGACCUCUUCUGACGCUGAGGCGCGAAAGCCAGGGGAGCAAACGGG
rnacentral:rRNA from 1 species